rnacentral:ncRNA from 1 species
AGCGACGCACGCGCCCGUCGCCCGAUUACCGACCCGCAGUAGGGGCCUUUGGCCCCCAAGGCACGUGUCGUAGGUGCAGCGUCCCCGACGGACAAGUCGCAGGCGCCUCCUUGGAGCGUAAUUCCCACCGAGCAGCGGGUAGAAUCCUUUACAGACGACUUAAAUACGCGACGGGUUAUUGUAAGUGGCAGAGUGGCCUUGCUGCCAUGAUCCACUGAGAUUCAGCCCUUUGUCGCUUCGAUUCGU